AUGCAGUUUUUAUCUGAAGAAGAAGCAUAUGGCUUCUAUAACAAGUAUGCUUAUUCCUUGGGUUUUAGCAUCCGAAGAGGCAAUCAUCAUAAAGUGAAAAAUUCCAGCACAAUACAACAACGGACAUUCACAUGUUCUCUUCAAGGAGUUCGUACGGAAGAUAAAAGAGAGGAGAAAUUCAGUUAUAGUAGGCCUGAGACACGAUGUGGUUGUGAUGCACGUAUGAAGAUAAGUCUUAAUAAUGGGAUUUAUUAUGUAUACGAAUUUAAAGAAGCCCAUAACCAUAGUUUUGCUACUGGAAACAUGUCGCAAUACUUAAGAUCACACAGGAAAGUAACUGAAGCUCAACUAGCCAAUGCCAAGGUCGCAUAG
rnacentral:rRNA from 1 species